rnacentral:precursor_RNA from 15 species
CUUCCAUUCUUUGCCCUCCAGGUGCUCAUCUGUGUAGAGGUGGGAAAAUAUGCCGUGUUUUCUUUCUAGGUAAAUCCUUACCUCUCGCAGUUGAGUGUCUGGGCCUCUUCUACUGUCCCCU